AAAAAAAAAUCAACAAAUGUUUUUUUUCCUGUAAAUACAGCGGUGAAGUUAGUUUCAGGUUGGAUAUAUUUUCCUGUAAAUACAGCGGUGAAGUUAGUUUUAGGUUGGAUAUAUUUUCCUGUAAAUACGGCGGUGAAGUUAGUUUCAGGUUGGAUAUAUUUUCCUGUAAAUACGGCGGUGAAGUUAGUUUUAGGUUGGAUAUAUUUUCCUGUAAAUACGGCGGUGAAGUUAGUUUUAGGUUGGAUAUAUUUUCCUGUAAAUACAGCGGUGAAGUUAGUUUCAGGUUGGAUAUAUUUUCCUGUAAAUACGGCGGUGAAGUUAGUUUUAGGUUGGAUAUAUUUUCCUGUAAAUACGGCGGUGAAGUUAGUUUUAGGUUGGAUAUAUUUUCCUGUAAAUACGGCGGUGAAGUUAGUUUUAGGUUGGAUAUAUUUUCCUGUAAAUACGCAGUGAAGUUAGUUUUAGGUUGGAUAUAUUUUCCUGUAAAUACGGCGGUGAAGUUAGUUUCAGGUUGGAU